rnacentral:rRNA from 1 species
AGAACUUAGCAGAGAUGCUUUGGUGCCUUCGGGAACUCUGAGACAGGUGCUGCAUGGCUGUCGUCAGCUCGUGUUGUGAAAUGUUGGGUUAAGUCCCGCAACGAGCGCAACCCUUUAUCCUUUGUUGCCAGCGGUCCGGCCGGGAACUCAAAGGAGACUGCCAGUGAUAAACUGGAGGAAGGUGGGGAUGACGUCAAGUCAUCAUGGCCCUUACGAGUAGGGCUACACACGUGCUACAAUGGCGCAUACAAAGAGAAGCGACCUCGCGAGAGCAAGCGGACCUCAUAAAGUGCGUCGUAGUCCGGAUUGGAGUCUGCAACUCGACUCCAUGAAGUCGGAAUCGCUAGUAAUCGUAGAUCAGAAUGCUACGGUGAAUACGUUCCCGGGCCUUGUACACACCGCCCGUCACACCAUGGGAGUGGGUUGCAAAAGAAGUAGGUAGCUUAACUUUCGGGAGGGCGCUUACCACUUUGUGAUUCAUGACUGGGGUGAAGUCGUAACAAGGUAAGCGUAGCGAG